AGGAAACCUUUCUAUAUAGACUAAAAAAGGUUUUCCCAGUCUCAAUCUCUCACUCUUUGGCAAAUUCUGUUCGUUCCAAGCCGGUAAAGCUUGUAGAAAGUUGACUUUGAAGAUAAACACACAGCGAGUGUUUUGCAAAGUGAAUUGUUCUUACUUGGCGAUUAAGCUUAGUUUUAAGUAGUUCUAGAUGGUAAAAGCAUUCUAUUCUAUAUAGACUAAAAAAGGUUUUCCCAGUCUCAAUCUCUCAUUCUUUGGUGAAUUCUGUUCCAACCAAGCAGGAAAAGCUAGUAGGAACUUCACUUUGAAGAUAAAUACACAAUUAGUGAUUUGCAAAGUGAAUUGCUGUUACUUGGCAAAUAAGGUUAGUUUCAA
rnacentral:lncRNA from 1 species